GAGGAAGUCCCAACAAUUGCAAGUUAGUGCACUGGGUUCUUUCAGCCAUAGUUGGAUCAAAUAUGGACAUUUUUAAGGGUUCAAAUUCAAGGAGCUUUCAAGGACUUUCCAGGUCCAAUACCCUCAAAUUCAUGGACUAAAUGUGGGGACACAUUACAAGACACAGACAGCCAGGCAGCUCUUUGGGUUGGAACAAGGACAUGGAGUUAAGGGAGCCCCUGGAAACCAGAUACAGAGAAGAUCAAACACUGGCACUGGAUCACAUGUCUCUCCUGAGCCGGGCGGAGCAUGACGCAAACAUGGCACACAGAGACAGAGGUUUUUCCCAUAAGUCUCCCUUCCUUUGGGCUCUGUCAGCUAUGGGAUAUCUGGCAGUCACGUGAUUGGGAGAGAACCACACCACUGAUACAGCCAGGUUUAAGAUAGCCAGCAGCAGUGGAUGAAGCACUGGGGAAAAAGUGCACCUCUCUAAACUACUUUUAUAAGAACUAUUGCUGUGUUUGGAAAAAUCCGAUAUAAAAUAUCCUAUAAAAUGUUAUAGGUACUAAUCAUACAAAAAAGAUAUUUGGCAGAUCAGACAGCUGGACAGUUACGU